GCACGCGUAUCCUAGUCGUACGGAGCUGGACUGGAAAUCCAGUGUGCUCUGCACUCGUGGGUUCAAAUCCCAUCGCGUGCGCCA
rnacentral:tRNA from 1 species